rnacentral:lncRNA from 1 species
CGUGGUCAAGGUAAGGAUGAGAUAAAUCCUAAGGGACUAGGCUAAAAUUCAAAGAGACAAAAGAGACUUGAAAGAACUGCGGGAGUUGAAUUUAUAAAAGAUUUCAUUCACUUCAACAACUCUAUAGCAACUGUUUUCUCUUCUCCUUUCUCUUUUUAUUCUUUUUUUUUCUUUUUCAUAAGGAGUAUGUAUUGAUUGACAUCAUUCUAUUUUUUUCAUUCAUUUUUUUUUCUUUUUUAUUUUAUUUUUCUAUUUUUCUUUUAUUUUUCUGCCAACUUUUGAAAUAUUAUAAAUAUAUUUAUUCAACCCCACACAACUCCAAACAAGACUCUUCCAACCCUUUGAAUAGGGUGAUAACAUUGUUUUUCACUUUUCG